rnacentral:rRNA from 1 species
UACGUAGGGUGCAAGCGUUGUCCGGAAUUAUUGGGCGUAAAGCGCGUGUAGGCGGUCCGGUAAGUCGGCUGUGAAAGUCCAGGGCUCAACCCUGGGAUGCCGGUCGAUACUGCCUGACUAGAGUUCGGAAGAGGCGAGUGGAAUUCCCGGUGUAGCGGUGAAAUGCGCAGAUAUCGGGAGGAACACCAAUGGCGAAGGCAGCUCGCUGGGACGUUACUGACGCUGAGACGCGAAAGCGUGGGGAGCAAACAGG